AUUGAACGCUGGCGGCAGGCCUAACACAUGCAAGUCGAGCGGAUGAAGGGAGCUUGCUCCUGGCUUCUGCGGCGGACGGGUGAGUAAUGCAUAGGAAUCUGCCUGGUAGUGGGGGAUAACGUCCGGACAGGGGCGCUAAUACCGCAUCCGUCCUGAGGUAGAACGUGGGGGAUCUUCGGUCAUCACGCUAUUAGAUGAGACUAGGUCGGAUUAGCUAGUUGGUGGUGUAAAGGCCUACCAAGGCGACGAUCCGUAACUGGUCUGAGAGGAUGAUCAGUCACACUGGAACUGAGACACGGUCCAGACUCCUACGGGAGGCAGCAGUGGGGAAUAUUGGACAAUGGGCGAAAGCCUGAUCCAGCCAUGCCGCGUGUGUGAAGAAGGUCUUCGGAUUGUAAAGCACUUUUAGUUGGGAGGAAGGGCAGUAAGUUAAUACCUUGCUGUUUUGACGUUACCAACAGAAUAAGCACCGGCUAACUUCGUG
rnacentral:rRNA from 1 species